rnacentral:rRNA from 1 species
UGGGGAAUUUUGGACAAUGGGCGAAAGCCUGAUCCAGCAAUGCCGCGUGUGUGAAGAAGGCCUUCGGGUUGUAAAGCACUUUUGUCCGGAAAGAAAUCCUUGGCUCUAAUACAGUCGGGGGAUGACGGUACCGGAAGAAUAAGCACCGGCUAACUACGUGCCAGCAGCCGCGGUAAUACGUAGGGUGCAAGCGUUAAUCGGAAUUACUGGGCGUAAAGCGUGCGCAGGCGGUUUGCUAAGACCGAUGUGAAAUCCCCGGGCUCAACCUGGGAACUGCAUUGGUGACUGGCAGGCUAGAGUAUGGCAGAGGGGGGUAGAAUUCCACGUGUAGCAGUGAAAUGCGUAGAGAUGUGGAGGAAUACCGAUGGCGAAGGCAGCCCCCUGGGGCCAAUACUGACGCUCAUGCACGAAAGCGUGGGGAGCAAACAGGAUUAGAUACCCUGGUAGUCCAGCGCCCUAAACGAUGUCAACUAGUUGUUGGGGAUUCAUUUCCUUAGUAACGUAGCUAACGCGUGAAGUUGACCGCCUGGGGAGUACGGUCGC